rnacentral:rRNA from 1 species
GCUUGUCUCAAAGAUUAAGCCAUGCAUGUCUAAGUAUAAAUGCUAUACAAUGAAACUGCGAAUGGCUCAUUAAAACAGUUAUAGUUUAUUUGGUAAUACACUUACAUGGAUAACCGUGGUAAUUCUAGAGCUAAUACAUGCUGUUAAGCCUGACUUCUUGAAGGGCUGUAUUUAUUAGAUGGAAACCAAUGCGGGGCAACCCGGAAAAUGGUGAUUCAUAAUAACUUUCGGAUCGUUUACGAUGCAUCAUUCAAGUUUCUGCCCUAUCAGCUUUGGAUGGUAGGGUAUUGGCCUACCAUGGCUUUAACGGGUAACGGAGAAUUAGGGUUCGAUUCCGGAGAGGGAGCCUGAGAAAUGGCUACCACAUCCAAGGAAGGCAGCAGG